rnacentral:rRNA from 1 species
AGCUGGGUUCAGAACGUCGUGAGACAGUUCGGUCCCUAUCCGUCGUGGGCGUAGGAAAUUUGAGAGGAGCUGUCCUUAGUACGAGAGGACCGGGAUGGACAUACCUCUGGUGUACCAGUUGUCGUGCCAACGGCAUAGCUGGGUAGCUAUGUAUGGACGGGAUAAGUGCUGAAAGCAUCUAAGCAUGAAGCCCCCCUCAAGAUGAGAUUUCCCAACUUCGGUUAUAAGAUCCCUCAAAGAUGAUGAGGUUAAUAGGUUCGAGGUGGAAGCGUAGCGAUACGUGGAGCUGACGAAUACUAAUCGAUCGAAGACUUAAUCAAUUU